GGGUUGUGAGGUUAAGCGACUAAGCGUACACGGUGGAUGCCCUGGCAGUCAGAGGCGAUGAAGGACGUGCUAAUCUGCGAUAAGCGUCGGUAAGGUGAUAUGAACCGUUAUAACCGGCGAUUUCCGAAUGGGGAAACCCAGUGUGUUUCGACACACUAUCAUUAACUGAAUCCAUAGGUUAAUGAGGCGAACCGGGGGAACUGAAACAUCUAAGUACCCUGAGGAAAAGAAAUCAACCGAGAUUCCCCCAGUAGCGGCGAGCGAACGGGGAGCAGCCCAGAGCCUGAAUCAGUAUGUGUGUUAGUGGAAGCGUCUGGAAAGGCGCGCGAUACAGGGUGACAGCCCCGUACACAAAAAUGCACAUGCUGUGAGCUCGAUGAGUAGGGCGGGACACGUGGUAUCCUGUCUGAAUAUGGGGGGACCAUCCUCCAAGGCUAAAUACUCCUGACUGACCGAUAGUGAACCAGUACCGUGAGGGAAAGGCGAAAAGAACCCCGGCGAGGGGAGUGAAAAAGAACCUGAAACCGUGUACGUACAAGCAGUGGGAGCACGCUUAGGCGUGUGACUGCGUACCUUUUGUAUAAUGGGUCAGCGACUUAUAUUCUGUAGCAAGGUUAACCGAAUAGGGGAGCCGAAGGGAAACCGAGUCUUAACUGGGCGUUAAGUUGCAGGGUAUAGACCCGAAACCCGGUGAUCUAGCCAUGGGCAGGUUGAAGGUUGGGUAACACUAACUGGAGGACCGAACCGACUAAUGUUGAAAAAUUAGCGGAUGACUUGUGGCUGGGGGUGAAAGGCCAAUCAAACCGGGAGAUAGCUGGUUCUCCCCGAAAGCUAUUUAGGUAGCGCCUCGUGAAUUCAUCUCCGGGGGUAGAGCACUGUUUCGGCAAGGGGGUCAUCCCGACUUACCAACCCGAUGCAAACUGCGAAUACCGGAGAAUGUUAUCACGGGAGACACACGGCGGGUGCUAACGUCCGUCGUGAAGAGGGAAACAACCCAGACCGCCAGCUAAGGUCCCAAAGUCAUGGUUAAGUGGGAAACGAUGUGGGAAGGCCCAGACAGCCAGGAUGUUGGCUUAGAAGCAGCCAUCAUUUAAAGAAAGCGUAAUAGCUCACUGGUCGAGUCGGCCUGCGCGGAAGAUGUAACGGGGCUAAACCAUGCACCGAAGCUGCGGCAGCGACGCUGAUGCGUUGUUGGGUAGGGGAGCGUUCUGUAAGCCUGCGAAGGUGUGCUGUGAGGCAUGCUGGAGGUAUCAGAAGUGCGAAUGCUGACAUAAGUAACGAUAAAGCGGGUGAAAAGCCCGCUCGCCGGAAGACCAAGGGUUCCUGUCCAACGUUAAUCGGGGCAGGGUGAGUCGACCCCUAAGGCGAGGCCGAAAGGCGUAGUCGAUGGGAAACAGGUUAAUAUUCCUGUACUUGGUGUUACUGCGAAGGGGGGACGGAGAAGGCUAUGUUGGCCGGGCGACGGUUGUCCCGGUUUAAGCGUGUAGGCUGGUUUUCCAGGCAAAUCCGGAAAAUCAAGGCUGAGGCGUGAUGACGAGGCACUGCGGUGCUGAAGCAACAAAUGCCCUGCUUCCAGGAAAAGCCUCUAAGCAUCAGGUAACAUCAAAUCGUACCCCAAACCGACACAGGUGGUCAGGUAGAGAAUACCAAGGCGCUUGAGAGAACUCGGGUGAAGGAACUAGGCAAAAUGGUGCCGUAACUUCGGGAGAAGGCACGCUGAUAUGUAGGUGAAGUCCCUCGCGGAUGGAGCUGAAAUCAGUCGAAGAUACCAGCUGGCUGCAACUGUUUAUUAAAAACACAGCACUGUGCAAACACGAAAGUGGACGUAUACGGUGUGACGCCUGCCCGGUGC
rnacentral:rRNA from 1 species